UGACGAAUGACGGUUGAACUUUUUACUGUGUUUGUUAAAAAAAAUUGCAUCUUCUGUGAACUGUUUGUCCAAGUCCGCUGGAUCAUGGCUUUGUGAUAAGACUGGCCAAGGAUGGAAUGAGGGUCCUUGGGAUGUAGUGAGCCCUUCAUCCCUGGAGUCAUUCAAGGGACAGGACAGACAGAUACUCGAUGAGGGUAGCUUCAAGGAGAUUCAAUCAGUAGGAGUGGGGUUGGCCUAGAUGACGCUUCAGGUCUCUUUGACUCUUCCUGGAAAAUGUGCAUUGGGAUGAUAUUCUCCCUUUGGCAGCCCAGUGACAUUUAAGGUGUCUUCUCCUGGGUGGGUUUGUGCAUUUAUGAUUUAUAAACUCUCAAAUCACCCUCUGUAACUCUUGUGGUACAGGAAUCUCUUUGACCCUCCAAGGUCCAGACAACUGUGCCGCCAUCUUGAAUAGUCACAUGGUGGCCUUCCUGCCUCCACCCCCCACCCCCAUUUCACUUUGAGGAAGACAACCCCUUGGAUCACCACUUGCCACCUCUCAGGGCAAUCAGCUGAGGCAGUCUGCUGCCCUUCAUGUUCCUAGUGCCCUCUGAUGUGUGAGCCACUGUCCCGUUGGCCUCCAUGGUGGUCUUUGGGGUUUAAUUAAAUAUGUCAGAUUAGGUCAGAUAGUGAAUCUGCCUUCAGAAAUGGGGCAACUCAAUUCCACAAGCCAAGGAGUAGAAUGGGCCCCAUAUUCUCCUUGGGCUUCCCUCAUGGUUCACCCCAGGGGUAGCCAGGUCUCAGAAGUCAUCAUGGCCAUUCGGGAAGGGCAUGUGACCCAAGAAGGCUCGGCCCUGCUUUCCAGAAUACCUUCUGCUUGCAGUCGAGGGAAGACCCGUCUACUAUACUAUAGACCGUCUACUAUAGCACUGAGCGCUGUUUGCCUGUGUCAGAAUUUCUCACCCACAUGUUUGGGAGGCCAGUGACGAUUCCCAACAUUACUUGGAUCCAUCCAUCCAUCCAUCCAUCCAUCCGUCCAUCCAUUGCAUUUGGCCUCUUGACCUGGUGCUUUGGCCUUUCCCUUUCCUGAAAGCAAACCUUUUCCUUGUGGGCAGGCUGUGUAGCGCCAUGGGCUGUGGUUAUGAAGUGAACGCCCUUACUUGUGGCUUCUUCCUCCGGGGUCACUGCUCUGAGCAUGUCCCAGCUGGAUGUCAUCUGCCACAUCACCCACACGGCUUCCUUCCCCAUGGCGCGUUCCCAUGCAUCACACACUGCGAGGGAUCCAGGGCCCAGGGGCCCAGGGUGUCCCCCGUCCCCACCCGUGAGUGGAGAUGUGCCCCCCACCCCCAGGCCACCUUGCCUGGUGCAUGGUCCCUGCCAUGAGCUUUGCCCUCAGCCUCUCCGCUUCCUCUACCAGAUGACAGCGGUUGUAACUCAUCCUUCCAUCCCUCCAUUCACUCCACUCCCAGCCCGCAAACAUUUGAAAAGGUCAGCUGGUGCUAUACUAGAGCUGGGUCACAAGGUUGCAUUCUGACACCCCCUCUCGAAAGAAAAGAUGAGCGUGUUUGCUGGGGGCUAGCCACAAGGCGGGAUCCUUGAUUCGGCGUGCCCACCCCUCUGCCAGAGUUCUGUCGAAAUUUUGAUUGCCCUCUCCAACUUCGUUCCUCCGCAAAGUGGGUUGAUUAGUAAUCAGCAAGCUGUGUUCCCUGGGUGCUCAGAAAUCAUAGCCCAGAGUCUCAAGAGGCCAGAAUGAUAGCUGGAGUGGGGGGGGAGUCUGAGACAAACAGCCGAUUCUGGCCAUGAGCAGGAUUUCGAGUCAUUAGGACACCCUCAUCUUGCACAAAGGGCGAGUUUCAGAGUCCUUCCUGUCCCUUGGAGAUUGGUUCAUUCUGGGCUCUAUUGAGAGAAAAUUGGGGGAGAUAAUUGCUGGUUUGGAUGGUGAGGGUCAUACCCCCCUGUGAGGUCUGCAUAGAACAAUCUGUUGGGACAACUGGGCAUCCAGGCCGCCUGGCACUUGGCAAACCCGGGAUGCAUCCGCGAUCCAGGUUCCCAGCCAGGCAGGGCUUCCCACCUUAGAUCUCGGGGGCUCUCCUGGGAAUUCUGCGUUUGACUUACUGCCUUAGACAGUAGGUAUAAUGGACAAAGCCAGGACCCUGGAGCUGGACAAGCAUGUGGUUUAAACUCAUGGGCACAGCCAAGUUCUGCCUGCUGGGCAGAGCAUGGCACCCACCUCGCAGGGCUGUUGUGAGGAUCUGCUGUAACCAGGGUUUUGAACUGUGAUCCUGUAGGGUGGUGCGCGUGCCCCCGGGAGUAGGCGGCGGGUGGUGGGGUGACCGGCCAUGAGGGGCAGCCUGAUUGGGGCAGCUUAGUGGGCAAUCUUUCUAGCAAGCACACAGUGGGUAUUAUGGGACCGAAUGCUGAAUUCGUAUGGCAUUCGAAAGGUAGGUAGGAGUAAUUUGGGGGUUAGGGUUAGGCUGGGGAAUGGGGAUCGCUCUGGGCACUGUCCUGGACCCCUGGGGUACGCGUUCACACCCACCUCUGGAAUAGGGGUCACCUUCCAUUCCUGUCGGAAGGAUGGAUGAGUAGAUGGUCGAAUAACACAACUGUAACCCAGUGUAAGCAGCGAUCGUUUGUAACCUUGACUAAGAGACUGUCCUCCGCUCCUGAUUAACCUGUUAACCAGUUAACUGUAUCUUACGGACCUUUGUAUGAUAUAUGUUGUUCGAAAACCAGGACUCUGGUUUCAGAUGUCACUUGGUGGCACUUCCGCUGUCCAAUGAACGAGUCGAUGUUCUGUGUUAGAAAUGAGAAUCUGGCUAACGUGUAACUAACCGUGCACCGUCGGUCAAGGCACUGCGCUCUGACCGUCGGUCUUCUUUUGGUCUCCUUUUUUCUAAGCCGUGGGUCACCGGAAAGCUUACCUCACAGGGUUGUUGUGAGAGCUCAGGUUGGGUGAACUCUAACAGCGUUCAUUAAAUGCUGGCUGUCACUGAAAGUGAUCAUGUGUUGGGUGCUGUCUGGAAGGGAGCAGGGAAGCUUUUGCUAGUUCUAAAUGAAUAAAAAGUUGGUCUUGACCUUAUAAUAAGAUUGUAUUUCCGACAGUCACUGGGACAUGUGAGACAGAGGUCAAGUGGCCUGAGAGUGUUCAGUGAUGCAGGUCCAGAGUAAAUAUUGGCUCAGUUAAUGAGUGAUGGCUCC
ensembl:lncRNA